GAUGAACGCAGGCGGCGUGCCUAAUACAUGCAAGUCGAGCGAACAGACGAGGAGCUUGCUCCUCUGACGUUAGCGGCGGACGGGUGAGUAACACGUGGAUAACCUACCUAUAAGACUGGGAUAACUUCGGGAAACCGGAGCUAAUACCGGAUAAUAUAUUGAACCGCAUGGUUCAAUAGUGAAAGACGGUUUUGCUGUCACUUAUAGAUGGAUCCGCGCCGCAUUAGCUAGUUGGUAAGGUAACGGCUUACCAAGGCAACGAUGCGUAGCCGACCUGAGAGGGUGAUCGGCCACACUGGAACUGAGACACGGUCCAGACUCCUACGGGAGGCAGCAGUAGGGAAUCUUCCGCAAUGGGCGAAAGCUUGACGGAGCAACGCCGCGUGAGUGAUGAAGGUCUUCGGAUCGUAAAACUCUGUUAUUAGGGAAGAACAAAUGUGUAAGUAACUAUGCACGUCUUGACGGUACCUAAUCAGAAAGCCACGGCUAACUACGUG
rnacentral:rRNA from 1 species